rnacentral:rRNA from 1 species
GCCAAUCGAUGGGCGCAGCCUGAUCAGCAAUGCCGCGUGAGUGAUGAAGGCCUUCGGGUUGUAAAGCUCUUUCCCUUGGGAAGAUAAUGACGGUACCCCCAGAAGAAGACCCCGCUACCUUCGUGGCCGCAGCCGCGGUAAUAAUA